AGAGUUUGAUCAUGGCUCAGAACGAACGCUGGCGGCAGGCCUCAAACAUGCAAGUCUAGGGGGUGCAGCAAUGCAUCACCGGCGGACGGGUGCGUAACGCGUGGGAAUAUACCUAUUGGUUCGGAACAACUGCGGGAAACUGCAGCUAAUACCGAAUGUGCCCUCACGGGGAAAGAUUUAUCGCCAAUGGAUUAGCCCGCGUCCGAUUAGCUAGUUGGUGGGGUAAAAGCUCACCAAGGCUCCGAUCGGUAGCUGUUCUGAGAGGAAGAUCAGCCACACUGGGACUGAGACACGGCCCAGACUCCUACGGGAGGCAGCAGUUGGGAAUCUUGGACAAUGGGGGAAACCCUGAUCCAGCCAUGCCGCGUGAGUGAUGAAGGCCUUCGGGUUGUAAAACUCUUUCGACGGGGACGAUAAUGACGGUACCCGUAGAAGAAGCUCCGGCUAACUUCGUGCCAGCAGCCGCGGUAAUACGAAGGGGGCUAGCGUUGUUCGGAAUUACUGGGCGUAAAGCGCGCGCAGGCGGCUAUCCAAGUCAGUGGUGAAAGCCCGGAGCUCAACUCCGGAACUGCCAUUGAAACUGUUUAGCUUGAGGAUGAGAGAGGUGAGUGGAAUUCCCAGUGUAGAGGUGAAAUUCGUAGAUAUUGGGAAGAACACCGGUGGCGAAGGCGGCUCACUGGCUCAUUACUGACGCUCAGGCGCGAUAGCGUGGGGAUCAAACAGGAUUAGAUACCCUAGUAGUCC
rnacentral:rRNA from 1 species